rnacentral:lncRNA from 1 species
CGUCUGCUCCCACACCACACAGCCGCCGCCAUUGUCAAAGUUACAGACGGUCAACGGCAUCGAGACACAACUCAUACUUAUCGCAAUUGAAUUAACCGGACUGAUCCAGAAGAUGAAUUCGGUGAUGAAUGUUCAUUAACCUAAUCCAAAGAACGACAGCACAUCCGACAGACGACCUUCAUGAUUGACUCUACGCAUUGGGCAACAGGCGCACACUAAUAUCUGACCCUUGGCAACCAGCGAGAGCCAAGCCGCAACUGGUCUUCCCCGUCUUUUAUUUUGUUUGGAUACGGCACAGCUAAACAUCUAGCUAAUCUUCAACCGAUUCAAUACUUUUCUUACCCAUCGGAGGGUAGAUUUACUGGGCGGCGGACAAAUAAUGGGUACGAAAAUAUCUGAAUCCGGAAACCCAAAUCUAAGUUGUCGCUGAUAACGAGAGUUAACGCUGAUAUUAUAUACUAAUUUCUACUGCAUAGGAACGAUUACUGCUACGGCACAACAACGGAGAUCUGAGGGACUCACACUGGUGCUUGCGUCGGUGGAAGAGGCCGAGCCACUUGAGGCGGACGUCGAUGUCGUCCUUGUGGACCUUGGUCGCGUCGAUCUCCUCCAUCGACUUGGCGGC